AUUGAACGCUGGCGGCAGGCCUAACACAUGCAAGUCGAACGGCAGCACAGAAGAGCUUGCUCUUUGGGUGGCGAGUGGCGGACGGGUGAGUAAUGUCUGGGAAACUGCCCGAUGGAGGGGGAUAACUACUGGAAACGGUAGCUAAUACCGCAUAACGUCGCAAGACCAAAGUGGGGGACCUUCGGGCCUCACACCAUCGGAUGUGCCCAGAUGGGAUUAGCUAGUAGGUGGGGUAAUGGCCCACCUAGGCGACGAUCCCUAGCUGGUCUGAGAGGAUGACCAGCCACACUGGAACUGAGACACGGUCCAGACUCCUACGGGAGGCAGCAGUGGGGAAUAUUGCACAAUGGGCGCAAGCCUGAUGCAGCCAUGCCGCGUGUAUGAAGAAGGCCUUCGGGUUGUAAAGUACUUUCAGCGGGGAGGAAGGCGGUGAGGUUAAUAACCUCGCCGAUUGACGUUACCCGCAGAAGAAGCACCGGCUAACUCCGUGCCAGCCGCCGCCGUAA
rnacentral:rRNA from 1 species